rnacentral:tRNA from 1 species
AUUUAUAUAGUUUAAUAAUAAAACAUUACAUUUUCAUUGUAAAAUUAGAAAAAUUUCUUAUAAAUA